rnacentral:rRNA from 1 species
GCUGCAUGGUUGUCGUCAGCUCGUGCCGUGAGGUGUCGGGUUAAGUCCCAUAACGUAGCGCAACCCCUAUCAUUAGUUGCCAUCAGGUCAAGCUGGGGACUCUAAUGAAACUGCCUACGCAAGUAGUGAGGAAGGUGGGGAUGACGUCAAGUCAUCAUGGCCCUUAUGUCCUGGGCUACACACGUGCUACAAUGGCCGGUACAGAGCGCAGCGAGGCCGCGAGGCGGAGCGAAUCGCUUAAAGCCGGUCCCAGUACGGAUUGGAGUCUGCAACCCGACUCCAUGAAGUUGGAAUCGCUAGUAAUCGCGCAUCAGCAUGGCGCGGUGAAUACGUUCCCGGGCCUU